ensembl:lincRNA
AGAAAAGAAGAAUUGGAGGCAUCAGGUCCAUGACUUUCACAGACACAAACAUAAAGGGGAGAGGACCUUCUACAAACUUAUCCAGCACACAGUCGCAGGGGAGCUGGAGCCUAUCCUGGCAAACAGUGGACGCAAGGCAGGAUACACCCUGGAUGGGACGCCAGUCAUAACAUCAUCACAGUAUUGUUCACUUAGCUGAGUCAAUAUGAAUUUUAAUUGGAUAAAAAACAAAUACUAUAAACGCUAAAUGGGAAUCACUGAGAUAUUGGAGGCUGUUUAUGUUAACACGCCAUUUAAACCUUCUAGACAAUGUAGGGAAACAAAAGGGCAAAGUGCAUUUAAAACUGAGAACAAAGGAUUGUGGGAGAAUGUUGUUGAUGUUGAUGGCUUCUUUUAAGAAAUGGCUGGAUGAGACCCUUGGAUCAAUUAACUGUGAACUUCCGAAAGGGCUAGGUGGAUCAAAUGACCUUUUCCUAUUUGUAGACUGUCUUUAUUUAGCUGUUUUAUCUCAUCUCAAGGCGUUAGUGAUUUUCAGAGACCUAUGAAACCUCCUGAGCUGACCAGAGUUUUGCACAGCGGCUGUAAAGCACCACUGUAAUGAAAGGAGACCUCGGCUUCUCACAGGCAGGCAGACAGGGAGGACUGGUGCUGGCUGAAAGGCAGUAUGCGGAUGUACUGCAGUAUUUCUCUUCCUGCUAUAAAAGAGAAAGUGUUGGUUGCAGGAACACAACCCCUCUGGCAGGCUCUCAGUGGACUUCUGCAGUAAUGGAGAUUAAUCUGAAAAAGUGCUGAUGUCAGAGCUGAUGGAGUUUACAGAACCCACAGCAAACCUACUGCACAACCUACUGCAAACCACGUUUUCCAGUGUGCAGAUGGCUCUAUAGCUGGUGCAGCCAUACCCAAAUGCCUGCUGAUGAGUCUUAUUGGGGAUUUCAAUAUACAAACUUCUGAGAACUUUAGCACGACAAGCAGACUGAAAAUGAUCACUCCACGCUGUGGGUCCCCCAGGGAACGGGGACAUCCGGGGAGGUGCUAUAGACCCAAGAGCGCGGGCCUCACAGUCCAGCGGGAGUUGCCAGCUCACUGCACUCUGGGUGUGGAGCAGCCUGAGGUCAGACUGUCCAGGGUAAUUGGCAGCCGGGCUCCAGGAACAGGGGCUGCCAGGAGUUUCGAACUGUCCAAUGGGACAGUGGCCCGGACUAGAGGGGGCGGGGCCACCUGGGGUAAAGGGCAGUCCUCCGGAAUCACCCAGCAUGCACUUAGGCACAGGGUGUAGGAAGGGGUGUACCACCAGAGUCUGGAGGUCUGGGUCCUGUACUGGGGCCGGGCAGGACAGUUGUCCAGAGGGAGUACACUCUUCAGGUGGUCUCCUCCAGAAACCAGGCCGGCAUACGCCAUGAGGGCAAAUUACAGGGGUGCUUCAGAGCCCGGGUCCGACAUGGGCUCCCGGCCUCGUUUCCACACCCAGCAGUCUGGAGGAGCCCUGGGCCGCACAGCCUCAGAAGGGGUUCCCAUGUGGAGUCCGGGUGAGUCAGGAAAGGGGAAAACGGGAACAGAGGACUCCACUGGGAAGCACCGGGUGGUUGUUUGUAGGUGAAGAAGCUCCAGAUCAGUGCCAGAUUGCUGAGGAGAGACCAAACAGGGUUUAAAUAUCCCAGAGCACCUGGUAGUGUGUGAUGUUUCACUAAAGCCAGGUGCUCUGCGUAUCCUGUCUCCUUGGACAGAGGGAAGGCGUGGCCUCAGGCCACCGUCCUGUGAUGCAGCGGGGCGACUGUAACAGCUACUUCUUAGAAUUAGCACAGCACAAAAACAAUAACACUGGAUUUCCUGAAAGUAGGAAGGAAACAACACCAAAGUGAAAAUGAUGUGUUGAACCUCCCAAAUACUUGCUUUUCUGUUCUGUAACUGAAAUAAAAGUGGUGAGCUUCGUAAAGACUCACCAUUCUCUUGUUUUCAUUGACAUCUUAUGCAAAACAAUAUCUCCACCAGGAAACAGGGUUGAUUUUAUUAGUGAGUAAUGAGUCAAACUACAGUAAAAUGGGUCUGACUCAUUUUACUUUUUAUUCCCAUUUUGAAAUGAGAGAAGGGCUCUUGUACACAUAACAAAAAUAGUUUUUUUAAGCUCUUAACUACCAUUCAGUUGUUUAUUUCUAUGUAUGCAUCAUUAACAGCUGUAUGUUCUCAUUUUAUGAACAAGGAUAAUAAUAACACUAAUGCUUGAAGCCACUUCACAAAGUCUAAACAAUAUUUUGAUGCAAAACAUGUAUUUUGAUUCACUGGGUGGAGUGCAGAAUGUAAUUCUACAUUCAGAAUGGCAUUUUCUAGCAUUUCUUUUACAUUGUGUAUUUCCUUAAAUUCAAUUUCAUCACCCCAAGGACACCAUCCCUAAAUGAAAGAUUAUCUCAGGAUAUAUUUCAUGCAUUGGUUAAUAUUUUGUCUUUUUGCUCAGAUAGGUUUUUAAAGUAGUGGAUAUUGAUAUUUUGUAGGUCAGAGGUCAACAUUUAAAGGUCAUUGAGGCACUUGGAGUGGUGAUUAGGGCUUUGGAUAUCUGAAUAGAAGGUUGUAGGUUCGGUGUACAAGUUGGACCCUUCUGUUGUACUCCUUGAACAAAGUACUUAUCACACACCGCUCCAAUAAAUGCACUGCUGGGUAAAUGGGUCUCCAGGUCAUCAUUGUAAAUAAAAAGUUUGUUCUUAUUUGACUUAGCUGGUUAAAUAAAGAAGAAAAGUGUUUUCAACAAACAACCCAGAAAAACAAUAUCACUGGCAUAAAUGAUUUAUUCAUUCUAUUCAUUCAUCAUUUUUCUAAGUGCAUUAUCCAAUUCAGGGUCAUGGGGCAGACGAAGCCUAUCCCAGCAAGCAGCGGGCACAAGGUGGGAUACAGCCUGGACGAGAUGCCAGUCCAUCACAGGGCACACACAGACACAAAUACCAGUUUACCUACCAGUAUCUCUUUGGACUGGUGGAAACUGGAGCAGCAGGAGGAAACCUACACAAACAUGGGGAGAACAUACAAACUGCACGCAGACAGCUCCCUAGGAUUUGGACUAUGGGCCCUGGUAUACAUACACUUUUUUAACAUUUAAACAAUUUCAUUUAGUAAAAUGCAAAAUCAGGUGAGUGAAAUCUAUUUGGAAAAUAUUCCUAAAUUGUGUCAAAAUGAGAUUAAAACAUGGGUUUGAAAAUUGUGUUUAACUUUCAGUCAAUAAAACGCCCACAGCUAGAUACUGCAAUGGUGACAUACUGACUUCAUUCCAUUCUUGCACUGGCCACUGGCCAUGCAUUGGCAGUGAACUGUGCAUAACCUUCAAAAAGAGCAUGGACUGUUCCAUUUCCUCUGGGGGUGUUCACUCCGAAUACUCACGGUUACACAAAGUACAGGCCAUUGAUGCAGGCAGAAAUAUUGGGAUAACAGUGUAAUUAGAAUAUGUUUGAUAUAAAGUGGAAUUAUUCUGUCAUCUUCAGUGUUGCUCUCAGUUAUAUUCAACUACAUUUUUAAUAAUAAAA